rnacentral:lncRNA from 1 species
AGGCGGUUAUAACCGCCUGACAGCCACGAUCACCACCACUUCUCCCUCCCCGCCGAGGCCUAUAAAAACCCAAAAACUAUUCUAAGAGAUUCUUCAUCCCUCACCCUCUCACUGCCUCUCAUUCCCUUUUCCUUCUGUGUAACGGAAACGGAUCGGGAGCGGUAGCGUCGGAGGAGGAGGGAUCUCCAACUCGUCACUGCACGGCGUCGCCGGAGCAG